CCUUUAGCAUUCUAAUGAUCAAGAUUCAUCUUACUUGUAAGCUGACAUAUCAAAAUAGAAGCGCCGUCUACUUAAACCUUAUUCCAUUCGGGCUCGAGUUUCAAUGAAUAUUGCUCAUGAGCUGGUCGAUUUUGACUCGACUUAGCUACCAUCCAGCUCCCGUAGCAAGAUGCUUAGCUCAAAGACUCACAAAUCUAUUUGAAUAUAUAAACAUAUAUUACAAACAAAAUUAUAUAUAUAAGUAUUAUU
rnacentral:lncRNA from 1 species